rnacentral:rRNA from 1 species
AACGAACGCUGGCGGCAGGCCUAACACAUGCAAGUCGAGCGAGGACUUCGGUCCUAGCGGCGGACGGGUGAGUAACGCGUGGGAACGUGCUCUUUGCUUCGGAAUAGCCCUGGGAAACUGGGAGUAAUACCGGAUGAGCCCUUUGGGGGAAAGAUUUAUCGGCGAAGGAUCGGCCCGCGUUGGAUUAGGUAGUUGGUGGGGUAAUGGCCUACCAAGCCGACGAUCCAUAGCUGGUUUGAGAGGAUGAUCAGCCACACUGGGACUGAGACACGGCCCAGACUCCUACGGGAGGCAGCAGUGGGGAAUCUUAGACAAGGGGGGAAACCCUGAUCUAGCCAUGCCGCGUGAGCGAUGAAGGCCUUAGGGUUGUAAAGCUCUUUCAGCUGGGAAGAUAAUGACGGUACCAGCAGAAGAAGCCCCGGCUAACUCCGUG